GAGAGAAACAACUUAAUGUAUUUAUAAUAUAAAAUUAAUAAACAACUUCAAGUUACAAGUCAAUUUAAAGAUGAAAAUCAUACCACAAAUAUUCGAGCUAACUUAUAUACACCCAAAAGGCUUGCUAGGUCAAAUCUCCUGAUAAACUUUAAUUAAUCUCUCACCUCAAGGAUCACAGAGAGAUUUUGCUAAAAUAGCUAAAGCUUUUCAAUCCGAGAUUUCUACUUAGUUUUUCAAUCCUAUACGUUUUAAUUCAAAUAAAUGAAUAAAAUUAGCAACUGUAAUACUAGAGGACAUCUUAAAAGACUUGAACUCUUUCAGUUUCUUCUGUCUUUCGUUUCGUAUAGCCCUCUCAUUCCGUAACAGAUUUUGUGUCGCUCUGGGGACACAGUUUUGUAUGAUCUCAUGACCUCGAAAACAUGUCCUUCGACGACGUACUCUUCCACUUUAUCUCUUUGCUCGACAUCCAAAACUUCCACUUGGAGUGAUUCGAGUUUGUCCCCAUUCAACCAUGUCUAAAAUAGGAAACAAGAAACAAUAAGAAUGAUUGAACCAUUCAAUGUGACAUCUUAUGUCACAAUUUAUUGUAGAAGGCAUAAUCUGUUAACGAAAUUUAAGGACUAAUAAAGAUAAUAAUAAUAAUAUCAAGUCUAAUUUAUUCACAUAUUUAAAUCAUAAACAUGUCAAAAUAAAUAAUUUUUAUAAUUUAUGUGAUUACACAAUUCCACAAAAAUUAUGUUAUUGAUGAUUUCAAAACAUGUACCUUUUUUUAUUUUUAUUCUAAAAAAAUAGUACUCCAUUUCACAUGUUUCAUUAAAAUAUUAGAAGCAAAAGGAACAGAUAAAAAAUGUACUGAAGUGCACUAGUUUUCACUUUUAAAUAACAACUAUUCUUCUCUUAUAGUGAAAGCAAGUAGAAUGUCAUAUGUACCCCAAAAAAAUAAAAUGAAAUGAUAACUUAUUAAAUGUAGACACAUUUUUUCAUAAAAUUACAAUAAUUUUUCCUUUUAUCAAAGGAGAACAUAAAAAAUUGUGAUUUGUAUAUUUCAUUUCCCAAUACUCUCUCUCUCUAAAUAUAUAUAUAUAUAUAUAUAUAAAAGGAAUUAUAAAAUAAAGAAGAAAAGUGCUACAACUUUCUUUCUCAUAUUAUAUAGAAACAACACCGCUUAUGAAUUGCAAUUCUCUUUUCUAUCUGCCAUUCUUUUAUCAAUCCUUUCUCUAACACUUCAAUGACAGAAAAAAAAAGUUCUUCAAAAUAUAAUUUCUUUUAAAAAAAAUUCACUUCCCUAAAGAAUUUCUUUUUAUUUUAAUAUUCCAUAAAGAACUUAUGGAGAAAUUGAAGAAAAAUUCUUCAAGAGGAGUUGCGGUUUCAAUGGCAAAGGGCAAAGCAACCACUCAGUGAUGCGGGAUCUAAUUCUUAAAGUAAUAAUUUUUUAUAAUAGGUAAUUGCUAAUUCAUUUUUUUUAGAAAUCCUUAUUUCAGAAAAUAAUUCUAAAUCGACAUCCAUUAAAGAAUGUGAAUUUGUCAAAUUUGAUAGCGAUGAGAUAAUUAAUACUUUCUCUGAUAUGGAUUUUAACAAAUCAGAGCAAAAAUGAUACAAAUAGUGUACCUUGAAUGUGUAACAAAAUUAUUAAUCUUGAUAGCAAUCAAAUCUGUCCCAAGUCCACUUCGUCUCUCUUGGAAAUAGAGUUUUGUUCCACAAAUCAAAUGCCCUUUUGGUGUUUUAUUUCUUGUUUUACGUUUUUCGUACUCAAGAUUUUUUUUUCUCAUCCACUGUGUGAAGAAGAAGCAAUAUAUAUAUAUAUUGGAAAAUUGGGGGUAUGAAUAGUUAUUGAGUAACUUCUCCCCCCUCCC
rnacentral:lncRNA from 1 species